UUUUUUUUAUAAAAACAAAUUUCCCUCAUCUUCUUCUUCACACCGUGCACCCCUUGAGAAAACCCUAGCCGCCGACACCCAGCGCCGUUUUCUGUCGAACCCGACGCCGACAAGCAGUCGGCGAUCCGAAGUUUCCUCAGCGCGCCAGCCGGUCAGAGUAGUAUCCGUCCUUUUAUGCCGAGAGCCGAGAGCCCAGAUCUGAAGGUGUCUUCGUCCACUACGUUCUGCCGAGAGCCGCUCGUCCAACUUCUCCAGAUCGUCCAGCCGAUCUCCUCUGCACGUCGCUCGUUCGGUCGGUCUCCUCUGUCGUUCACCUAGUGCCGACCGUACGCGAGCAUCGCUUCAAGUUGCAACGCCACUCUAGCCCAACGUCCGCCACCCCAGCCGCAUCGCUGUCGGUUGUCGUCCCCCUGCUGCGUCGGGUCCGCUUGGUCUUCGUCAGAUAUGUUGGGUUUAAGUCGUCAAGGAGUUUGGAAGUCAAAGGAGGCACCGAGUGGAAGUGGUUUUCAUUUUUUGAGGCCGCUACUUUGGAUUGUCGUUAUAGUUUGUGGUCUAAUUUUUAUCUAUGGAGUAUCGACUCGAGGUAAGUAAUCUUACUACUGGAACUGGCCCCAUGAUGAACGGAUAGUUUAGUAUAAUCGUGGUACGUUCUUGCUUGAGGAUAUGAAAGAUGUAUUUGUACACUUGGAUACUUGAAUGCUAGCAUGAGAUGAUAUUUGAUUCCAUGAGGUUGUAUGUGAUAUGUGGAUAUUGAGGCAUGUGUGUUUGUUAUAGAGCUAUGACGUUGAAGCAUAUGUGUAUGUCAUAGAGCUAUAUUGUGAUAAUUAUGGUGUCGAGCAUAUGAUAGUACUGAUUAGUUGGAAUGCCCACUAGGUUUGUGUUUCCUUCGGGAUUCAAUUAUUGUGUUCCCUCGGGUUUCAUCAAUUUGUGUUUCCUUCGGGAUUCACCAGUGAUUGUGUUUCUUUCGAGAUUCACCUUCCCUUCGGGAUUCACCAGUUAUUGUAUUUCAUUCGGGUUUGGGAUUCACCAGUUAUUGUGUUUCCUUCGGGUUUCACCAAUUUGUGUUUCCUUCGGGAUUCACCAGUGAUUGUGUUUCCUUCGAGAUUCACCAGUUUGUGUUUCCUUUGGGAUUCACCAGUUAUUGUAUUUCCUUUGGGAUUCACCAGAGGUAGUGGGUAUAUUUAAUUACAGUAAGAUAGAAAUCAAUUUCUUUUUCAUGUAUGUAUGUGUCUCAUGAGGACUAGAACAGUUUAUAUGUUCCACUAGAGGUAGGUGUCUAGAGGACAUAGAUGUCUAACCUGAUCCCAGUAGUGGGGUUACUUAGUAUUUAUACUCAUUCUUUUUCAUGUUGUUGUUUGUAAAGAUGCACUGAUGAUGGACAAGCGGAAUUCGUGAUCGAGCCACUGGGACUAGUUUCAUGCUUCCGCUCAUGAGAUUUAAACUUAUUUUCAUGUUUUUCUCAGCUUUAAGUGUUGAUGUCUAAAACUUACUAUUAAAAAUCGCUUUCAGAUUUAUUUAUGAUCAUUUAUGAUUUAUGGGUACCCUACUGUUGUUUUUUUUUUUUAAUAUUUGAAAUUAAAUGCAAAGUCUUUUAAAUACACCUUAUUUAAUUAGCAUUUAUUUCACCAUAACAGAGUGUCGUUUUAAGUUCCAUGCAUGCAUGUUUUUAGUAACAGCCUAACUUAAGUCCUAGGGGAGGGGGUCGGAUCGUUACAGUGUUUGCUUUGUUUCACAUUAUGGUCUCUACAGUUCGUGCUGUGCUGCGGGUUGAUUUUUUUGGUCUUAUCUAGUGCGUUUACGGGUGUUUUUUCUCUUUUUGUUCUUGUCGAUGUUCUUUGUUUUACUGUUGACCAUAGGUUGUGGGGUUUUGUUUCCUUUUCGUUGUUUUUCUCCUAGGUGGAUGGUGUUGUUUGCAUUUGUUUCGUUCGAGUCCCGUUUUUGUUUGUGCUUUGUUGCUUUGAUGCCUUGAUCCCGGGUUGUGGGAUCCCCUUAUUGUUGUAUAAUAAUAUCACCUAUUCUAAAAAAAUAGUAAAUGAAAGAUAUUUAACUUUCAGA